rnacentral:rRNA from 1 species
AUUAUAAAGUAAUUUGUGUUAAUUAUGAGUUUAAAUUUUUAUGUUAAAUUAAAAUUAUUUGUUUAUUUAGUAUUAAGGGUAUAGAUUUAUUGUUCAAUUUUAGUACUGUAGAGGAGUAAAUUUUGUUAAUUUUUUUAUAGUAGAUUUGUUAUUCGUACCUUUUGUAUAAUGGAUUAAUGAUAUAUUUAUAUUUUAAUAUAAAUUAAUCUCGAAUUGAAAAGAUUUACUUAAUAUAUCUUAUGUUAACGUUGUAUAGUUAUAUAUUUAAUAUUGAGUGGUAGUAAUAUAUUUAUCGAUUUUCAUGAUAGCUAGUUUAUAGAUUUGGAAUAUUUAAGUAUUAGGAUAUUAAAAUAGUUUUGUUUAUUUAAUAUUAUUUAUAAUAUAAGGGAUAAGCUUUAUAUUAUUUGUAGAAUUAAAAUUAUAUAUUUAAUAAUUAAAGUAGAGUUAAAAAUGCUUUUCUUUAUAAGUAGUUUAAAUUAUAAAUUAAUUUUUAUUCAAGUAUAAAAAUGAUUAUAAAUGUUUUUAAAUUAGUUUUAAAUAAUUAUAAUGUUAGUAUGAGUAUUAUAUGUAUUAUUAAUUUGGUUAUAUUAAUUGUAAAUAGUAAUUGUUAUUUAAAAAUUAAGUAAAAUAAAGGAAUUCAGCAAAUAUUAAUCUCGCCUGUUUAACAAAAACAUGUCUCUUUGUAUAUUAUAAAUAAAGAGUCGGGCCUGCUCGGUGAUAAUAAAUUUAACAGCUGCGGUAUUUUAACUGUACUAAGGUAGCAUAAUAGUUUGCCUUAUAAUUUGAGGCUAGAAUGAAUGGUUUGACGAAGGUUAAUCUGUCUCUAUUUUAUUUAGUAGAAAUUAAUUUUUAUAGUGAAAAAGCUUAAAUUUUUUAAAGGGACGAGAAGACCCUAUUGAGCUUUUAAUUUUAAUUUUUUACAGUUUUGUAGUAUUAUAUAAAUUUUAAUUGGGGUGAUUAAGGAAUAAAAUUUUAAGUUAUAUUAGUAACUUCCUUAUAUUAUAUAUAGAUAUAUUAAUUAACCAAUAAGUAUAUUGCUUAUAUUAUAGUUACCAUAGGGAUAACAGCGUAAUUUAUUUAGAAAGUUCUUAUUGAAAAAUAAGAUUGCGACCUCGAUGUUGGAUUAAAGUAACCUUAAGGUGUAGAAGCUUUAUUAGGUAAAUCUGUUCGAUUUUUAAAACUUUACAUGAUCUGAGUUCAGACCGGCGUAAGCCAGGUUGGUUUCUAUCUUUUAAAAUUGUAUAUAGUAUCUUUUAGUACGAAAGGAUCAGAGUUAACUAAAUUAUUAAUUAAAAUUUUAAUGUAUUUUAUAAGUCUAAUAGGGUUUAGUAUAAUUAGGUUACAUUAAAUAUGAUAU